UACGUAGGGUGCGAGCGUUGUCCGGAAUUAUUGGGCGUAAAGAGCUUGUAGGCGGUUUGUCGCGUCUGCUGUGAAAAUCCGGGGCUCAACCCCGGACUUGCAGUGGGUACGGGCAGACUGGAGUGUGGUAGGGGAGGACGUGGAAUUCCUGGUGUAGCGGUGGAAUGCGCAGAGUAUCAGGAGGAACACCGAUGGCGAAGGCAGGUCUCUGGGCCACUACUGACGCUGAGAAGCGAAAGCAUGGGGAGCGAACAGG
rnacentral:rRNA from 1 species